rnacentral:rRNA from 1 species
UAACACAUGCAAGUCGAGCGGUAACAGGGGGUACUUGCAUCCCGCUGACGAGCGGCGGACGGGUGAGUAAUGCUUAGGAAUCUGCCCAGUAGUGGGGGACAACAGUCGGAAACGNCUGCUAAUACCGCAUACGCCCUACGGGGGAAAGCAGGGGAUCUUCGGACCUUGCGCUAUUGGAUGAGCCUAAGUCGGAUUAGCUAGUUGGUGGGGUAAAGGCCUACCAAGGCGACGAUCCGUAGCUGGUCUGAGAGGAUGAUCAGCCACAUCGGGACUGAGACACGGCCCGAACUCCUACGGGAGGCAGCAGUGGGGAAUAUUGGACAAUGGGGGCAACCCUGAUCCAGCCAUGCCGCGUGUGUGAAGAAGGCUUUCGGGUUGUAAAGCACUUUCAGCGAGGAGGAAGGCCUUAAAGUUAAUACCUUUAAGGAUUGACGUUACUCGCAGAAGAAGCACCGGCUAACUCCGUGCCAGCAGCCGCGGUAAUAAGGG